rnacentral:tRNA from 1 species
GGGCACAUGGUGUAGUUGGUUAUCACGCUCGCUUAGCAUCUGUUAAAAUGCGAGAGGUGUUGGGUUCAAUUCCCAAUGUGUCCA